rnacentral:rRNA from 1 species
UAAGUUUGAUGGCGACCGGCGCACGGGUGAGUAACACGUAUCCAACCUGCCGAUGACUCGGGGAUAGCCUUUCGAAAGAAAGAUUAAUACCCGAUAGCAUAAUGAUUCCGCAUGGUUUCAUUAUUAAAGGAUUCCGGUAAAGGAUGGGGAUGCGUUCCAUUAGGUUGUUGGUGGGGUAACGGCCCACCAAGCCUUCGAUGGAUAGGGGUUCUGAGAGGAAGGUCCCCCACAUUGGAACUGAGACACGGUCCAAACUCCUACGGGAGGCAGCAUG